ACUUAAGCAUAUCAAUAAGCGGAGGAAAAGAAACCAACAGGGAUUGCCCUAGUAACGGCGAGUGAAGCGGCAAGAGCUCAAAUUUGAAAUCUGGCCCCUCCGGGGUCCGAGUUGUAAUUUGCAGAGGAUGCUUCGGGUGCGGUCCCCAUCUAAGUGCCCUGGAACGGGCCGUCAUAGAGGGUGAGAAUCCCGUCUGGGAUGGGUGGCCGUGCCCGUGUGAAGCUCCUUCGACGAGUCGAGUUGUUUGGGAAUGCAGCUCUAAAUGGGUGGUAAAUUUCAUCUAAAGCUAAAUAUUGGCCGGAGACCGAUAGCGCACAAGUAGAGUGAUCGAAAGAUGAAAAGCACUUUGAAAAGAGAGUUAAACAGCACGUGAAAUUGUUGAAAGGGAAGCGCUUGCGACCAGACUCGCCCGCGGGGGUUCAGCCGGUACUCGUACCGGUGUAUUCCCCCGUGGGCGGGCCAGCGUCGGUUUGGGCGGCCGGUCAAAGGCCCCCGGAAUGUGUCGCCUCUCGGGGCGUCUUAUAGCCGGGGGUGCAAUGCGGCCAGCCUGGACCGAGGAACGCGCUUCGGCACGGACGCUGGCGUAAUGGUCGUAAGCGGCCCGUCUUGAAACACGGACCAAGGAGUCUAACAUCUACGCGAGUGUUCGGGUGUCAAACCCGUCCGCGCAGUGAAAGCGAACGGAGGUGGGAACCUUUCGGGGUGCACCAUCGACCGAUCCUGAUGUCUUCGGAUGGAUUUGAGUAAGAGCGUAGCUGUUGGGACCCGAAAGAUGGUGAACUAUGCCUGAAUAGGGCGAAGCCAGAGGAAACUCUGGUGGAGGCUCGCAGCGGUUCUGACGUGCAAAUCGAUCGUCAAAUUUGGGUAUAGGGGCGAAAGACUAAUCGAACCAUCUGGUAGCUGGUUCCUGCCGAA
rnacentral:rRNA from 1 species